GCCCAGCCCCUAGCACAGCCCUGUGCUAGACAAAGAGGUGCUCAAUCAAUAUUUGUCAAAAGACCUGAGCAUUCCAGCUUUGCCUUUUGAGCCUUUCCGCUUCCCAUCCCCACCCCGGAAGUUCCGUCUACUCUUCGGCUUUGUGAUGCAAUCUCCGAGGAAGAUUGAGAAGCCUGAGGUGGAAGAGGGAGAGCAACAGUGGAGGACGUGGUCGGAAGUGAGCGGUCGGUCUCCACAAGGAACGACAAGGAGGUAGGGGAAGAGGGAAACAGUUGUCCCGGUGGGAAAUGGGGGACCCUGGACAUGUCCUCUCGGGGGCUGAUGAAGCAGUGGCAACGCUGCUUGUGGGGCCUGCUGCCCCUCAGAACAGCCCCUGGGGGCUGUAGGCUGUCAAGCAGAGGCUCCUCCAGCAAGGCCCCUGUAGGUCUUGGGAAGCAUCUCCUCAGCACUUCUUCCCCUUCUCUUACAUGUGGACUAGUUACCUUGUUCUAGAAUCUGGGAAAGGAGACGGGUACAUGGGAAUGAAAAGGUAUGAAAAAAUCCUCUUGAUAAACGGCCCUCUGGGGGCCGGACCCCUGGAAAGUCCGGCGUCAGAGGGAAGGAAGGGGCUUCCUGGCUUCAGGACACCCUCAGCACUGUGCUGCCUGAGGGAACGCUUGAGUUCCUUCUGGCUAUGAAGAAGUUUGGAGUGGAUGCCCCUGGGAAAACUAUCUAGUGUAGACUCCUGUCUCUCAUUACUCAUUUAUAAUUAAAGAGUUGGGCUGCUUUCUCUGUGAGUGUCUACAGGAGGAUCUGACAUACCCUGAAUCAUCUCUCCUGUCUCCUGGUUCCUGCACAUAUUCACAGAUUAUUCUGCAGAUGCAGAAGUGAGGGCUCUUUUCCCUCCAGGGGCUGCGUGGGAGAAGGAUUCCUGGCCUCUCCACCCCAGCAAAUGCUGAGUCCUCUGCCUUCCCUGCCUCCUGGUCCCUAGGAGCUUGCAUUGCUAUUCUGUGAUUUGCAGUUCAGAGAGGGGGGGAGAGAGAGAGAGACGGAGGAGAGAGAGAGAAGCAGAAAAAGCAAGAGAGAGGGAAAGAUUCGAAGAUGCAAGAACACCAGCCCCUGGACACCAUCUGUGGGACAGCAGCCCUUUGUGUCAGGGGAGCAGGUGCUACAUUUUACAUCCGUAUGUCAGGAAUGGGGGGGUAUCCCAAUCCCCCGCCCAGGUGAGUUUCCUUACAAGACAUUGAGGGAAUUUCAUGGCCAGCUUGUGUGUGUGCCGCUUUGCUGCCAAUCUCAGAAAAGCUAACCCUUCACUCGAAGCUAGAAAACAUAAGGGCUCCAGGUUAUCUGCUCCCCUCCCUCGCCAUGCCCAGCCAGCGAUGACUGCUCCAGGUGUCUGCUCCUGUCCUGCAAGGUCUCUAGGCUUUCCCAGGGUUCAGCCACCUCCUGAGGUCAUGGGGCUGGGCAGGGGCAGCACAGGGCCUCUGACCAAGGUCAACCGUCUCUGGGAUCUGUGCUCUUAUCCACUGUGCUAUAUUGGCUCUGCAGAGGUGAGGCCUGGCAGGGAGAGGGAGAAGCACAGGCUGGAGCCUUUCCUCCUGCCAAGCUUCUUCGCUUGUCAGGACACGCAGGCAGUUUUAAACGUGAAAUUUCCAAAGUGGCGUGGGUGGGCAGUCUGGUGGCCUGGGAUACUUGGAGGUGUCCACACUGCCCUAAUGGAAAUGCCUUGGUAUUACAAAGACCUGUGCAGGUAACCGGGUUUCAUAAAAUAUAUGUUGCCCUCAGCUAAAAAGGCUUUGAAAAAUAGACUAGCUGUUGUGUAUCUAUGCCAGGUUAAUAGGGAUAUGGCCUGACUCAGUGAAUUUUGCUGGUUCUUGGUUCCCUGCUCCCUGCAGGCUGAGUUUUCGCCCUGCAGCACCAUCUGAGAAUCAGGAAGCAGAGAUGCUGGCAUGAAGCUGGCCGUGAGAGCAGGUAAAGGGCAGUUGCUUCUGAGGGUGAGAGGGUGGAGGUGUGAGCACGUCAGAGUUGUAAGGAUAGCUUCCCUUUCCACACCCCCAGAUGUUCAUGGUCUCAUCAAGUAACAUGGACACAGUAUCCCGCCACCAAAAUCAUUGGUUUGCAGUAGUAUUUCGUGUUCUUUUCUGCUAUUAGAUACAUUUCAUUUCUCCACGAGAGAUGAUAUUUAGGAAUUCUUAGGAUUGUGGGGGGAGCACCCUCUGGGCGCUUUUGAAAUCCUCCACUUUCUGCAUUUAAGAAGAGUUCCCCCCAGAGGCUGUGCAAGCAUUUGGGGGUCCUGAUAAUCCUUAUGGCCUUUAUUUACAUUUUUGGUGUGAAUAUGGAAAGUCUUACUUAGGGGGAAGUGUGGAUCAUGUGCCGGCGUGUUUACACAUUCCACAAACCCCACACAGGUUAUUUCACGUUUAUAAGAAGCAUCAGAGCCUGGUGUGCAGCUAGGGUUGAGAUGCGAGAGGCAUCCAUGUCUCUUAUGGGUGCCUUUACUCAUUCACCGCAAUUGGAUCCAUGCCUCUAACUGGCAGGAGUUGGGGCCACGGUGCAGAAGGAAAGCUGAUGCCCAGCAGGACCCUGCAUUCCAGGCACCUGUAGUCAGGUAGGGGAAGAAGAGGCCGGUACACAAACAGGUGAAAUGAAAGGAGGUCAUGACAGAGGUGGAGGACAGAGUCCCCUGCCUCCCCACUCAUGGAGGCACAUGGGAAUGAGGAACCUUGGGCUUCAGAUGCUAGUUUCUCAGCAAGGUACAGUGAAACCACUGCAUUUCUGUCCUCAGUUGCCCAGUUCCACUUGGGAAACGUAAUCAGUUUGUCUUCUUCCUCUCAGGACACAGCAGACACAGGGCUUGGAUUGUCAGCGUGAUGUUCCCUCCUUGUCCAUGGUAAUGAUGGCAUGUCUGGCAGACGAAGGUCUUUGAGUUGUGGUGAGAAAUGGAUAUCCCAGGGCAGCUGUGGGAGGGACAUCACUCCAUGCCGCCCAGACAUGGGAAGGGCACCCCUGGAGGAAUGAACACAGGUGGAGAGAGAGAUGGGGCCCCCUCUAUGAACAAGAUGGAAGAAGGGCUGGGAGGAGAAAAGGGUUUGCCCAGAGGAAGGGG